CUUGGGGUCCCGGAUCUCAGCCGCAUACUUGCCCCAAGGACGCUGCCGGACUCCUCUAUAAUGCCGAUUCUCCUCCGAGCCUGAGUGCUGCUUCCGAGUUGACUCUGAUACAUCGAUCCACUCAAGCUUCUCAACGGCUGGAAAUUUGAUCUUUAGCGAAGGCUUCCGAUUAUUAGAAUUUAGAGCUUUUUGUGUUGUGAAAUCUAUUACUUGAUUUUGCUCGAAAAAAUAGGAUCGAGAGCUUGAAAAAUUGGAGAAAUUAUUGGAGUAAUCAGAGAUAGAAAUCGGAGAUUCAUUGCUUGCAGAUUGAGAGCAAAGUGAAUCCGAUAGAGUCAGGGAGUUAGAAAUCGACAAAGUUAUGUUAGAGCUGCUUUGAUUUUCGACAUCAGUAGCAAAUGCAAUUUCUCUAGUAGAAAACUCUUCGAGAAGAUGCAUUCUUAUUUGCUCCAAUGCUAAGGCUUCAGCUGGCGUCGCCAUGUAGGUUGCACGAAAACUUCUCAAAGU
rnacentral:lncRNA from 1 species